GAUGAACGCUAGCGGCAGGCUUAACACAUGCAAGUCGAGGGGCAGCGUGAUGAGGUAGCAAUACGGAUUUGACGGCGACCGGCGCACGGGUGUGUAACGCGUAUGUAACCUACCUUUAACAGGGGGAUAACACUGAGAAAUUGGUACUAAUACCCCAUAACACUUUGAAGGGCAUCCUUUAGAGGUGAAAGUUCCGGCGGUUAAAGAUGGACAUGCGUUGUAUUAGCUAGAUGGGGAGGGGACGGCUCACCAUGGAGACGAGACAUAGGGGGACUGAGAGGGUAACCCCCCACACUGGUACUGAGAAACGGACCAGACUCCGACGGGAGGCAGCAGUGAGGAAUAUUAGUCAAUGGACGCAAGUCUGAACCAGCCAUGCCGCGUGCGGGAAGGCGGCUCUAUGAGUUGUAAACUGCUUUUGUACAAGGGUGAACCCUGGGACGUGUCCCAGGCUGAAAGUACUGUACGAAUAAGGAUCGGCUAACUACGUGCCAGCAGCCGCGGUAACAC
rnacentral:rRNA from 1 species